rnacentral:rRNA from 1 species
UGCAGUCGUACGAGAAUUUUUAAUUCAAGUGGCGGACGGGUGAGUAACACGUAAGAAUUUGCCUUUAGGAGGGGGAUAAUAACUGGAAACGGUUGCUAAUACCCCACAUGCUUUCGAGUGAAAUGGAGUUUUCCGCCUAGAGAGAAGCUUGCGGCUGAUUAGCUUGUUGGUGGGGUAAUGGCCUACCAAGGCGACGAUCAGUAUCUGGUUUGAGAGGAUGAUCAGACACACUGGAACUGAGACACGGUCCAGACUCCUACGGGAGGCAGCAGUGGGGAAUUUUCCGCAAUGGGCGAAAGCCUGACGGAGCAAUCUCGCGUGAGGGAUGACGGCCUAUGGGUUGUAAACCUCUUUUUUCAGGGAGGAACAAAAUGACGUGUACCUGAAGAAUAAGCAUCGGCUAACUCCGUGCCAGCAGCCGCGGUAAGACGGAGGAUGCAAGUGUUGUCCGGAAUCACUGGGCGUAAAGCGUCUGUAGGUGGUUUGAUAAGUCAACUGUUAAAUCUUGAGGCUCAACCUCAAAAUCGCAGUCGAAACUAUUAGACUAGAGUAUAGUAGGGGUAAAGGGAAUUUCCAGUGGAGCGGUGAAAUGCGUAGAUAUUGGAAGGAACACCGAUGGCGAA